rnacentral:rRNA from 1 species
AUUGAACGCUGGCGGCAGGCCUAACACAUGCAAGUAGAACGAGUGGCGGACGGGUGAGUAAUGUCUGGGAAACUGCCUGAUGGAGGGGGAUAACUACUGGAAACGGUAGCUAAUACCGCAUACCAUCAGAUGUGCCCAGAUGGGAUUGGCUAGUUGGUGGGGUAAUGGCUCACCAAGGCGACGAUCCCUAGCUGGUCUGAGAGGAUGACCAGCCACACUGGAACUGAGACACGGUCCAGACUCCUACGGGAGGAAGCAGGUGGGAAUAUUGCACAAUGGGCGCAAGCCUGAUGCAGCCAUGCCGCGUGUGUGAAGAAGGCCUUCGGGUUGUAAAGUACUUUCAGCGGGGAGGCGUUACCCGCAGAAGAAGCACCGGCUAACCCCGUGCCAGCCGCCGCGGUAAUAC